CCCUUAGAUGUCCGGGGCUGCACGCGCGCUACACUGAAUGAAUCAGCGUGCUAGAAAACCUUGUUUGACAUGGCUAGGUAACCCAUUGAAAAUCAUUCGUGAUUGGGAUCGGGAUUUGCAAAUGUGUCCCUUGAACGAGGAAUUCCCAGUAAGUGCGGGUCAUCAGCUCGCGUUGAUUACGUCCCUGCCCUUUGUACACACCGCCCGUCGCUGCCCGGAACUGAGCCGUUUCGAGAAAGCCGGGGACCGACGACUUGUGGGUGCGCAAGCACUUCUAGUCGAUGGAAACCAGUUUAAUCGGUAUGGCUUGAACCAGGCAAAAGUCGUAACA
rnacentral:rRNA from 1 species